GAUUUCAAUUGUAAAAAUCAUCAACAACAAAGUUGUAUAACUCAUCAAGAUCUAUAACUUUUAUUUUGGUCAUUUCUUUAUCCGAUAAAGUGAUAGUAACAUUGUUCACAAAAUUUACAUAUCUCUCAUUUGGUUUUAUAAACUAUAAGAGAGAGAUGUAAAUUUUAUGAACAAUAUUACUAUCACUUUGUCGGAUGAAGAAAUGACCAAAUAAAAGUUGUAGUCUUGAUGAGUUCUACAACUUUUAUGUUCAUGACUUUUUCAGCUGAAAUU
rnacentral:pre_miRNA from 1 species